AAGGUGUGUCACUGGCCGGGCUGUUCUUCCUCGCAAAGACUGCGUGUGCUCUUAGCUGAGUGUGCGCAGGACUCGCGACGUUUACUUUGAAAGAAUUAGAGUGUUCAAAGCAGGCCAUCGCUUGAAUACAUAAGCAUGGAAUAAUGGAAUAGGACUUUGGUUCUAUUUUGUUGGUUUCUGGAACCGAAGUAAUGAUUAAGAGGGACAGUUGGGGGCAUUCGUAUUUCGUUGUCAGAGGUGAAAUUCUUGGAUUUACGAAAGACGAACUACUGCGAAAGCAUUUGCCAAGAAUGUUUUCAUUAAUCAAGAACGAAAGUUAGAGGAUCGAAGACGAUCAGAUACCGUCCUAGUUCUAACCAUGAACGAUGCCGACUAGGGAUCAGAGAGUGUUAUUGGAUGACCUCUUUGGCACCUUAUGGGAAACCAAAGUUUUUGGGUUCCGGGGGAAGUAUGGUUGCAA
rnacentral:ncRNA from 1 species